rnacentral:lncRNA from 1 species
GACAACACAGACAACUUGCCUACGUGAAUUCAACCCACUCCGUCCUGGGGAGGAGCAAUCUGGUAGUUGCUGAGUCUACAAGGCUGGAUGUCUCAAUGAUCCCUCUCUGGUCCUGAAGGCCUGAAGGAUUCCUGGAGGCUGCUGAUCUUCAGUGGAUGUUGGAAGCCUGGAGAAGCUGCUUCUAAUAUCAAUGAAAGAAUACUACAACAACAAAAUAAAUGACCUUGUCAGCAAGAGUUAAGGCAAAAAGCAGUUUCUCCCAUGUCCUUUUAUCUAGGCUGACAACAGAAGAGGCCACCCACAUUUAGGGUGGAUCUUCCUGCUUCAAAGAACCCAAAACUCAGUGCCUAAGAUGACCCCCACCUGCCAUCACACAGUAUGCAUGGGGCAGAUUGCACCCAGAGACCUGGCUGCCACUCAGAUGAGCAAGUAAAUGGUGGAGAGAUGGGAGAGAGAGAAUCAGAAUGGUGUGUGCACAAUGAAGGGAGAUGGAACUGGAGAUACGAAGGUAGUGAAGAACAGCCUGAUGUGAAUAGCCUGUGCUGUCACCUGAGGCCAUGAUCGAUGGCCAGGUGUAUGGCCCUGCAGCAGUGGGGGUCCUGGUUACCACCAAAGGCCAAGCAGAUGUCCCUAGUCUGGGCUGCCACCUGGGGCCAUGUUGAUGUCCUAAGGCUGUGCAGAAUUGGCCCCACUCCUCACCUGGGCAUCGUGGGAGAGUGGCAGGGGACUGGGAGAGUGGAAGAGCUGGCACCGGUGGCCAUAUCACAGGGGAGCUCAUGGUCUGAGCAACUUAGCUACCACCUACACCUAGACCCAGGGCUUUGAAUUGGCCCACUCCAACACCUACCCCAUCUAUAAACUGCUGGAGCUCAGAAAGGGGCCAGUCCUGCAGAUCCAAAGCUGCAGGGUCUCCAUGACACAAGGCAACCACAGAAUAUCAAGAGGAGUCCCUGUGAGGAUCCACGGAUAGUAUAUCGAUGGUAUGGCAGAAGCUAGAGUCCUUAAACACACUAACGACUCACUGCAAUGAACAUUUGCAAGUAAAGCUAUUUGGGCAAAAGGGUGACACUGUGUGACACACCUUGACACACUACAGCUUCAACGGCAAGAUGUUCGUUUGUUUGUGUGGGGAGG